rnacentral:rRNA from 1 species
UACGAAGGGGGCUAGCGUUGUUCGGAUUUACUGGGCGUAAAGCGCACGUAGGCGGUUUGUUAAGUGAGAGGUGAAAUCCCAGAGCUCAACUCUGGAACUGCCUUUGAUACUGGGUAUCUCGAGUAUGGAAGAGGUGAGUGGAAUUCCGAGUGUAGAGGUGAAAUUCGUAGAUAUUCGGAGGAACACCAGUGGCGAAGGCGGCUCACUGGUCCAUUACUGACGCUGAGGUGCGAAAGCGUGGGGAGCAAACAGG